rnacentral:tRNA from 1 species
GGUUUAUUUAGGGUAGACUGCAAAUCUACUUAAGCUUAGAGCGUAAGCCU